UUUUUACUGUGCAAUUCAGUUUAAUUUGAUAUUAAUUAUUUUACUUUAUCUUGUUUUAUUUAUAAAUU
rnacentral:tRNA from 1 species